GAGGGAAUAGCUUAAUUGGUAGAGCAUACCGCUCAUAACGGUAAAAGUAGAAGUUCAAUUCUUCUUUUCCUUA